rnacentral:rRNA from 1 species
CACGGAGGGGGCAAGCGUUGUUCGGAAUUACUGGGCGUUAAGGGCAUGUAGGCGGCCUUGUAAGCUUGGCGUGAAAGUCCACGGCUUAACCGUGGGAUUGCGUUGAGAACUGCGAGGCUUGAGUGACGGAGAGGGAGCUAGAAUUCCUGGUGUAAGGGUGGAAUCUGUAGAUAUCAGGAAGAAUACCAAUGGCGAAGGCAAGCUCCUGGCCGAUGACUGACGCUGAGGUGCGAAAGUGUGGGGAUCAAACAGGAUUAGAGACCCUGGUAGUCCACACUGUAAACGAUGUGCACUAGGUGCUGGGGCGGAUGCUUCAGUGCCGUAGCUAACGUGAUAAGUGAUUCGCCUGGGGAGUACGAUCGCAAGGUUGAA